UUUGGCACUUGUAUUAGUGGGCACGGCAAGCAGUAGCAGCCAGAUGUUGUGUAGUGUUCUGUUUCAAAUUGAUCUUGACAUCUUUGUGUUCUAAAUUAUGUCCAUGAAACUGGCCACCGUGAAUCCAGGUGGACUUAAAUAGCCUGACUAACGUCCUCCCUAAAGAUGUGAGGACACACAUACAUGAUCGCUCGCUUCAUGUUACUACAUUUGGUUUCAGGUAUGGAUCGAGGGGCCCUAGCUCACAUUUUGUUCCUGUUUGUGAUCAGGUACAUCAGUCUUGUGGUCCACCACAUUUCUCGCUGGAGACCUCAGGUGCUCCGUUGUCGUACCUCAGCCAGCCUCACCAUGGAAGCCCUCUUGGCUGCAUGGACAACCAGAGUUGUAUGCACCCACUUGACACGGCGUUUUGCCUGGCGAUAAAUCCGCAGUAUCAUUUCCUCAACGGUGUUAGCGAUGCAUCGUCUCAGUUGCAGCUAAUUUGAUGCUUGUGUUUGUGGAAACCAAGAGGUGGCGCUGAUUCAUUGGAAACCUGGUUGUGUAUGAAUGAGUUUCCAGCUACUUCUAUUCUUGGAGAUAGAAACCAACAUGUUUGGUUUUUGUUUUUAUUCGCUUUAGAACAACUCAUUUUUGUACGGGAAGAGUCAUUUAGCUAUAAUUGUUUGUUGUAGUAUGUUUAUCACAGGAUAGCCGAUUCCAUGAAAUACAUAAAAACCUGAUAUUGUUGCUA